AGAGUUUGAUCCUGGCUCAGGACGAACGCUUGCGGCGUGCCUAAGAAAUGCAAGUCGAGCGAGGUUAGGGAGCUUGCUCCCGAAGCCUAGCGGCGAACGGUCGCGUAACACGUAAGCAACCUGCCCUGAAGUGGGGGAUAGCCCUCCGAAAGGGGGAUUAAUACCGCAUGUGGAUGUAUGAUUGCAUGUUUAUACAUCUAAAGCAGCGAUGCGCUUCAGGAUGGGCUUGCGGCCUAUCAGCUAGUUGGUGAGGUAACGGCUCACCAAGGCGACGACGGGUAGCUGGUCUGAGAGGAUGGUCAGCCGGACUGGGACUGAGAUACGGCCCAGACUCCUACGGGGGGCAAUUAGGAAUCUUGCGCAAUGGGGGAAACCCUGACGCAGCGACGCCGCGUGAAGGAUGAAGGCCUUCGGGUUGUAAACUUCUUUUAAGAAGGAAGAAUUAAGUGACGGUACUUCUUGAAUAAGCCCCGGCUAACUACGUGCCAGCAGCCGCGGUAAUACGUAGGGGGCGAGCGUUGUCCGAAUUUACUGGGCGUAAAGCGCGCGUAGGCGGACCUUUAAGUGGAGGGUGAAAUCUUGGGGCUCAACCCCAAAACUGCCUUUCAAACUGGGGGUCUUGAGGUAUGGAGAGGGAAGUGGAAUUCCUGGUGUAGCGGUGAAAUGCGUAGAUAUCAGGAGGAACACCCGUGGCGAAGGCGGCUUCCUGGCCAUAUCCUGACGCUGAGGUGCGAAAGCUAGGGGAGCGAACGGGAUUAGAUACCCCGGUAGUCCUAGCCGUAAACGAUGGAUACUAGGUGUUAGUGGUAUCGACCCCACUAGUGCCGCAGCUAACGCAAUAAGUAUCCCGCCUGGGGAGUACGGCCGCAAGGUUGAAACUCAAAGGAAUUGACGGGGGCCCGCACAAGCGGUGGAGCAUGUGGUUUAAUUCGUCAUUAACCGAAGAACCUUACCAGGGUUUGACAUCUAGGGAAGUCUGAUGAAAGUCGGAUGUGCCCCCAAAAGGGGAGCCCUAAGACAGGUGUUGCAUGGCUGUCGUCAGCUCGUGUCGUGAGAUGUUGGGUUAAGUCCCGCAACGAGCGCAACCCUCAUCCGAUGUUGCCAGCGGGUAAAGCCGGGAACUCUUCGGAAACUGCCCGUGUAAGCGGGAGGAAGGUGAGGAUGACGUCAAGUCGGCAUGGCCCUUACACCCUGGGCUACACACAUGCUACAAUGGACGC
rnacentral:rRNA from 1 species